CCUGAUUUUUUUGCUGACCAACAUCAAAACGUUUAAAGCAUAUACUUCUAAAAAUCAUAUUUCCAUUUUCGCAUGACAAAUUUUGCAUUCAUGAAGCUUCUUUCUCUUUUCUUUUGCAGCCAAAGAUCGCACAUUAUUUCAAUUUUUUUUUUGUUUUGUUAAAGUAACCAGUAAUUCAGUAAUUUCAGAGAGAGUAGAUAUCUUGUUCAUAAUUUGUCAAAUUCACAAACACUCUGCAAGCAGAUAUGUGAAAACUGGUGAAGUCCAUGAAAAUCAAAGAGAAGCUUUUGUUGUAUUUGUGAAAAUUCUGUAGGAGUAUUGCUUUG
rnacentral:lncRNA from 1 species